GCUGGAUUUUGGUAGAUUUUUUAAAUGAAUGUUCCUAAGAAACAUUUUUUUUCCACCAAAAAGUUUUCAAAAAUUUCCCAAAAAUCUUGAAAAUGUGGACAUCAGAAGUUUCACUGUAAAAAUCUAUUUUUUUUUCCACAUUUUCAAACUUUAAAACGGGUCAAUUUGACCCACAGGACGACAGGAGGGUUAAAUGAAACAAUAUGUAAUUUGUAGUAGGCUGUAAAUGAAUGCAUAAUGUUCUACUAAACUCAGUUGGUUCCAACAUCAAGUAACUUUUCUUCAGCAUUUAUCGGCUCCACCUCCAGUCUGCUCCAUUGUUUUGUUCACAGUAGCAUAGAAACCCGACUUCUAACUAGCGUUUAUGUGGUGUAAUUGUUCAGCCAUGCAGACACACCAGAACACAAGUAAAAAUGCUGACAGGCCACUGCUUGUUUAGGAUAUAACACAGGCAUUGCAUAUUUUUAACACAGGGGUAUAAAGCGAGAUUUAAGGUGCUUCCACAGCUGGUAUGCUACACUAUACUCAAGUAUGUCAGAACCCAGAAAUAUGCUUAGGUGAGGUGCACAUCAGGUAUUAAAGCUUUCCCCUCAGAGACCUGCACAUACAUGCAGAUCCCCCAUACUUAUAUCAGAUUUCUUGCAUGAAAAAUUAGGUUUGAAAACAGGAAAACGUAUCGGGUGUCCUCCUAAGCAGCAUUAAUGUGAAGUGUUGCUCCAUUGUAAAGUUAGCUGUUAGCUCCUCAUUCCUAAUGUGAAUUGCUUUCUUUACAACCUUAUUUCUAGGUUAUAGCACUUCCAUUGGUGACUACAGUGUAAUCAUAACUGAUAGAAAUAGUGGCCAUAAUGGCCAAAAUUAAACCCAGGCUUAUAAUUAACCAGAUUUAUCAUUUAACAUAUUCAAAUAAUAUAAUUUAACAUGAUAUAACCGAUGGUGUUCUGAAUUAUCAAAGGUUAAACACUGUGUUGCUGCCAUCAGUUUUUCUUUGUGUCUCUGCAUUUAAAGUUCUUCUCCGUUUAAUGCAAAGUAGGCUGAAGCCCAGCUGAUUAAUCAAACAAAUAAUUUCAGAAUCAGGCUGAGCAUUGUGGUUACAAAUUCAUAAUCUGACUAAAUUUAUUGAGGAUAUUCCAGUGUUUCUGUCUAAAUAUUCAACAUGCAUUAUCCAUCCUGGCAUUUAAAAGAAAAAAAUCUCCCUCGUAUAUUUAAGAGUAACUGUUGAAAAACUGACAAUAUUUGAAGUCAUGUGAGGAAAACUAUGUAUCAGUAUAGCAUCUGCAGUGCUUUAUGGUAUCUUGUGAAAAUUCCUGAAUGUCGUCACUGAUUGUAACUAUCUGUAUUCGCUGUCGACGUCCUCAUGACAAAAAUAUCCGAGCUCUGUGGGGGUCUUUACUGAUUGUGAUUAAAAACCAGUGCUUGUCAGUGAGAUCUUGAUUAAACACAACUGCUAGAUUUCUGUUGGCGCAGCUCCACUGAAAACAAUCCAGCGGCAAAUAUUUGUGUCCGAUUUUGUCCACAUCUCUAGAAACAUCUCAUAUUUGCCUUUGUCUGCUGAGAAAUUGCCUCCGCUGCCGACCUGUCCUCUGGAAUCUUUCAGACGUGGGGUGUUUGCCUUUACGGCGUGAGAUUAGUCAUCACCUCUGCUUUAUGAGCUCCUCCAGGAAUGGUGUCUGAGAACAGCUGUCACCGUGCACAGAUUGAUUGUAAUGCUUUGAUGGAUCUAUAUGAUAUUUAUGAACCAGAUGUUAGGCGUCAUCCAUCAUCUGCAUUGUGGUAGCAAACGCAGGAUCCUAUUAAACGGAGGAAUCCUGACCCCUCCUAACGACAGCAGCGACAUUUCAAAACCCCCUUUUUCUUUUUUCUUUUUUUUUUUUUAAAAACUGACUUUAAAGUCACUGCCGUAUCUGAUUUUACUGCCCUGGGUGAUAGAUAACAUGCUGCCUCUUUAUGGUCCCUGUAGGAAAGAUCUUUUAAACGACGAGCUGUGUCUGGUUUCAUGCUAAUUAUUUUGGAGCGCGUAUGAUUUUGAUAAAAAUUCAAUCCAUUUGUUCAAAUAAGAACCAAAACGAGCAAUAUUUUAUGGCAUCUUUGAGCAAAGAAGGUAUUUUUGUGGUGUCAAAACACAUUUUUAUUGAUUUAUAUUUAUUUUAAACUAGAAAUUUAAGAUAAAAUUAAGCAGAAAAAUGCGAUCAGUGCAUUACCCCAGCGUUAAACUAAGGAGUGUGUUACAUUCUUGCAUAACAGUGGAUCUACUCUUAAUUUGCUUAAAUUCAGACUGCGUGCUUGCCGUAGGACUCCUCAGUUCAGUUCAGUCCAUAGCUGUCUGUGUAUUAAAUUGUGCAACACAUAACCAGUGUCUGUUACUGUCUGUUUCUCUGGAGAUUAUCAUUGUAAUUUAACCUUCAUCAUCAGUGAAUCGGUGGAAGUUCCAACCUCAGCCGUUUACUUGGGUGUGCAAAAUCGAGACCAUUGUUCUUGUACCAUCUUGACAUAGACGAUACCGUGUCCUGUAGCUUUUCUUGUCCACCAGUUCGGGUCUUUGCCAUGGUGCGUUCCGUUGGCUAGCUGCUUUCAUUUCAAACCUGACUUCUAUUCUCUCUCUUGUGACCAAACCAAGUCACACGAUGGCAAAUACAAACUACUACUAUUGCUACUACUACUAUUCAAUGCUGUAACGUCGUAAAUCUUGCUCUUGUGGCUUCUGCAUGAAUUCAAGAAAUUAGUAGGACCGAUGUUUCACUGCCCUUGAUAGAACAAAAAAGAAAAAAAAUUGAUCUUUUAUGGACUGUUACAAGUUGUAUAGUGAGUGAUACUGUCCCUAACCCACUGUAUUAUGUGCUUGUUAUAACUAUUGCUCUAUGACAAGCUUAUAGCAUCAAUAUAUGGGAAUAUUUGGUAGAUUUAUAUUGUGUUAUAUUGUGAUAGCAUGUACAUAAAAGAUACCUCCUCUGC
ensembl:lncRNA